rnacentral:lncRNA from 1 species
GCUAAAGAUUGUUUCAUUUUUCCUUCCAAGGAAAACUCGAGUGACUUUUAGCAAUAAUUUUUAUUUGUAACAGUGAUGAGUGUCAAGGUGGGGAAAAGGGAGAAAGAAAAGAGUUCCAAAGAGGUCAGUGAACAGUACAACCAACACAAAAGCAUAAUUGCAGGAAACUUGUUCUUACAUAAAGAACGUGAGGUAGCAAACAUAAUGCAAGGAUACUAGCAAAGUUAUAUUACACACUCCAAUAAGGAUGUAAAAUUCAGUCCAAGCUGGGAAAUAAUCUGAUUCAAGUUGCAAGAUUAUUUUCCUAAAAAAGAUAACACUUUUAUUCAAGAAAAAUAAAUCUGGCUUUAACUUUUUAAAAUUCUAAACCCCAUCGAACUUUUUGGCCCAGAUGAAUCCAGUGUCAGACGGUACAUCAGCCCUUUACAUCAGAAUUCUAAAUCAACAAAUCACUGGCUCAGUGGACUCCCCAAAGCACUAUGCAAAAAGGCUUUAAAAUGACUAACAAUACAGAAUCAUUGCAGGAUGAUGGUACAACUUAUCUCAGAAUUUGGAGUGGUGGUUUGGGAAAUGAGGUGGUGAGCUCCCAACAUGAGAGAUUCAGAAUAGAAGCUGAGCACUGACUUUCGAAGCCCACCUCUGCUAACCACCCAUAAUAUGCUCAAGGGAGAGUUAAUCCACCUCUCUGCGCCUGUUUCCUAAGAUACUAAAAAUGGACAGCUUUUAUUAAAUGAUCUCAAUUUUUCUUUCCAGUACCAAACAUAAGAUCCUAGCUACUUGCUUCUGGGAGAGGGAACACAAAAGAAGUCUUGUACACAUAAGUCAAUACAUACAAGAUUUGGGAAUGUGAAAUGCUAUACUUUAAAGGGAUUAGAGCUCUCCAGUAAACUUCUACAGGCUUUCCUUGUUAAAAUGAGAAAAACUCUCACAGUAACCCUUCUGUGCUUUCCUGAUGUCCCUACCUCCGUCUUCCCCUGCAAACACUCAGACUUUCUUCAGUGAAAUUUAAGAUGGAAUUAAAGUUCCCCCAAAUGAUGGAAUUUACAGGGACCAAGUUAAGAAGUAUCAUGGAAAGAAAGAUGAACUGGUAAUCAGGAGGGUUGGAUUUUAGUGCUAGUUUCUAGACAAUCUUAAACAAGCAAUUUCUGCACUGUCUCAUCACCCAUGAAGCAAAACCAGAAAGGAUUGUUUUUAAGGUCACUCUGCAGAGAUCCUUAAGAAUAAAUAGGGCAGUUGCUAUGAUUUCCUAACUCUCUAAUUUAGGCUACAAAGUUUUUGAGAUGGAAGGGACCUUAGACAUCAUAUAAUUUAGUUCCUUAAUUUUCUAGAUGAAGACCCAGGGAAAUAAAUGACAUCCAAAUUUACACAGAAAAGGAUGACUUCACAAAAAAAAAAAAAAAAAAAAAAAAAAGUGAAAUAGUUCUGAUUGUCAUUUUCAUAUCUCUAUUGUAACAAACUGCUGUAUGAAUGUAAUGGAAUUGUAUUGUACUAUAUGAAAUCAUGAAAAAGAUUGGUUUGGGGGGGGGGGGGAAGAACACCUCAGAAGAAUGACAGAGCCCAGAUGUGAUGAAUUUAAAAUGUAGAAGCAUACUUUUGUGACAUAGUCAACAAGGGAAUUCACCAGUGACAUUGGAAGUAGGGGAGAUGUGAGUGGGAGAAAGUGUUUAAUUGAUGAAAAAAAAGGGUAAAAUUGAGAAAGAACUAUUACUAUAUACAUAACAAUAGACAUAGCAUUUUUUUCAUCCAGGCAAUAUAUACCAAUUCAGUUUUACUUAAAAAUUCAAAAUAUAAAUUUAUCUUGCUGAUAUUGCAACAUUUUUGUGGCUUUGUAUCUUAAAAUAUAGAACAUGUAUUAUAUUUCUGGGAACAAAACUUGGACAAAACUUCUGAAUAGCAGAUGGAAGGAUUCCCUAUAAAGGGGUCUAUGAACUUUAAAAAACAUAUGUAUAUAAUAUAUAUGCAUUUUUGUAUGCACAUAACUAUUUCAGGAUAAUUGGCUUCCUUUGUAAUCCUAUGUAUUUUAUACACUUAAAAAACAUGUUUCUGAGAAGAGAUCCAUAUGCUUCACCAGACUCCUGGGAUACAAGAGAUGAAGAAACCUUACUAUAGUUGGUGAAGUCCUUUAGACAUUGCUGUUCAUGGAUGAUAUUGUGCUGAUUUCUUCAAGCUCCAAAACAUUAGAGGACAUUCUUAAUGAGAUGCAGGAUUGCUUAAGAAAUCCAGGCAAGAAAAAUUAAAUGGGAUUUUAAGAUAUCUAUUUUCUAGACUGAACUACAGCUUAAGGUACAGUCCAUUAAGUUAGAGGUAUGUGUGUAUGUCUGUCUGUCUGUCCAUAUACCUGAGAAAGGCACUGCAAAUGGAUGAUAACUUGGGCUCAGUCAGCGAUAAAAAGCUGCUUCUUAACACAAAAACUCUUCUUUUUUCUUCCUUUUUGUAAAACAUAAGUCAAUCUUGGAUCAAUCUCUGAAGAACAAGUCCAGUGAGCAAACUAAGAGAUAACUAAAGGAUGUCCGGUGUUUUCAGUGAUUAGUGAUGUGCAGGAAAUUGAUAGUUAAAAGAAAUGUAUGGAGGGAAAGAAACAUGAAUGAGCUCUCAGAUCUACUGAAACAGGUAUAUGCUAAAGACUGAGUUCUUACUUCAUCAUUCCAUAAAAAAUAAAAAAAGGUUUUAAGAUGAGAUAAUUCCUAAGGUCUUUUAGAAUUCAAAAUUUUACGAGCAUAACUAUGUUCACAAAUAAUCAGAAGAGAGCUAAGAGCUACAAGAUCAGAUUAUUCAUUCACUGGAGUAGAGUUCUACUUUUUUAUGCUUGAGAAGUUGGAAACUUCUGUAUUAGAAAAACAAGAUAAAGAAUAGAGACAAUGACAUUCAAAAUAGUGCUUCGAUUUUAGUUGGGACAAGUAAAAAGUCCCACAAAUGCAACCAAACUCAUAUUUAUGUAAAAUCAAUAGUAAUUGAAGAAAGUUAUAUAGAACUGAUGUGGGU